UCUUCCCUGGCAGCGGUGCUCUGGCUGGCAACCCACUGGAAAUUGAUAGAGAGCUUCUGCGUAGUGAGCUGGACUUUGCUUCCAUCAGCCUGAACAGCAUGGAUGCCGUCAGCGAGAGAGACUUUGUGGUGGAAUUCCUCUCUGUUGCCACCCUGCUGAUGAUCCACCUGAGCAAGAUGGCUGAAGAUCUCAUCCUCUACAGUACCAGCGAGUUUGGCUUUCUAACCCU